GUGAGGUGGAGUUCAGAGCAUAUUUUCUCCGUGAAGUUAGUUGAUACACAUGCUAUAUAUAAGGAGCUUUAAUCCAUAUUGGUUUGGAGGCCUGAGACCAUAGAGAACUGUUCAAAUUCAUUCAUUUGUAGCUUCAUGGAAGUUUCAUCAGCCCGACAACAUAGCAAAAGGUCGUCUGCAAAGCAUAUGUGUGUGAUUUGUAGUUUGGAGCAUUUGGGGUGGAAGUUAAAGUCUGGGUUUCUGUGUAGCUUUUUUAAGGAUCUGGUUAGGUAUU
rnacentral:lncRNA from 1 species